CCUUUCCCUCCUCUCCAUCUCCCAUUGCAUUGUGUCUGACUGAUUUUCAGAGCACCUUCGCUGUUUCCCCCUUCUCUUUCCCUUUCUGUAAAAUAUCUAGACAGGAAGGAGGUGGCUGCAGAGGCUGAACAAACAAUCUCAUAUUCUGCCUGCAAUGUCAUCGUUUCUUUCCCCCAUUUUAGGGGGCUGAAGUUGCCCAGGAAGGGGAUGCAGAGGAGCUGGAAAGGAAGGGGGGAGCUCUCCAGUGGCAGCUGCGGUCAGGGGCAGGGACUGCCGCCAGAUGUGCCUGCCUCUCUGGACUUUGAUGCGAAAGGGGCAGCAGGAGGAAAUAUUGGGAGACAAAAGCCCCGGUUUAAAUGAUCAUUUUCUUUAUUUAACAUGGCAGCAGACACUCUGCGUAAGAUCAUCAUGCCGAACAUAAACUGGACUUUCCCACUUGCCUGGCAGGAGUGAGACAGAUCACUGUGUGCUAAAUGAGCAUCUGAGGAAGAUUAUCCCUGAGCUAACUGCUGCUGCCAAUCCUCCUCUUUUUGCCAAGGAAGACUGGCCCUGAGCUAACAUCCGUGCCCAUCUUACUCUACUUUCUAUGUGGGAUGCCUACCACAGCAUGGCUUGCCAAGUGGUGCCAUGUCUGCACCCCAGAUCUGAACUGGUGAACCCUGGGCCACUGAAGCGGAACAUGCACACUUGACCGCUGCGUCACCGGGCCUGCCCCAAGAAUCUUUUGUUAUUGUCACUCAUAUCGUAUGAAAAAUGUCCUUGGCCUCUGCACCCCUGUGGAAUCCAGUUCAUCUCCAAUCCGUCAGAAAGCAUCAGAGGUGGUUUUGAUUCCUUAUGUCCUGAGCCUGUGCACAAAAUGUGUGAGUACACUGAGAUAAUGAGGUCAAUUUUACUGCUGUCAAGGGUCUUCUAAAAUUAUUUUAUAGUGGUUGUUGUAUUGGAAUGAACUCACCCUGUAGUUUCAGGCAGAGGAGGGAA
rnacentral:lncRNA from 1 species